GGGGAUAACUACUGGAAACGGUAGCUAAUACCGCAUAACGUCGCAAGACCAAAGAGGGGGACCUUCGGGCCUCUUGCCAUCGGAUGUGCCCAGAUGGGAUUAGCUUGUUGGUGGGGUAACGGCUCACCAAGGCGACGAUCCCUAGCUGGUCUGAGAGGAUGACCAGCCACACUGGAACUGAGACACGGUCCAGACUCCUACGGGAGGCAGCAGUGGGGAAUAUUGCACAAUGGGCGCAAGCCUGAUGCAGCCAUGCCGCGUGUAUGAAGAAGGCCUUCGGGUUGUAAAGUACUUUCAGCGGGGAGGAAGGGAGUAAAGUUAAUACCUUUACUCAUUGACGUUACCCGCAGAAGAAGCACCGGCUAACUCCGUGCCAGCAGCCGCGGUAAUACGGAGGGUGCAAGCGUUAAUCGGAAUUACUGGGCGUAAAGCGCACGCAGGCGGUUUGUUAAGUCAGAUGUGAAAUCCCCGGGCUCAACCUGGGAACUGCAUCUGAUACUGGCAAGCUUGAGUCUCGUAGAGGGGGGUAGAAUUCCAGGUGUAGCGGUGAAAUGCGUAGAGAUCUGGAGGAAUACCGGUGGCGAAGGCGGCCCCCUGGACGAAGACUGACGCUCAGGUGCGAAAGCGUGGGGAGCAAGCAGGAUUAGAUACCCU
rnacentral:rRNA from 1 species